GGCGGCCUGGCUGGCGGACCGGCGCCGGGUCCUGGUGCGACUCGCCGGCGCGUUCCGCUCCGGGGACGCCGC
rnacentral:tRNA from 3 species